GACAAAGUGACAGGUGGUGCAUGGUUGUCGUCAGCUCGUGUCGUGAGAUGUUGGGUUAAGUCCCGCAACGAGCGCAACCCUUAAGCUUAGUUGCCAUCAUUAAGUUGGGCACUCUAAGUUGACUGCCGGUGACAAACCGGAGGAAGGUGGGGAUGACGUCAAAUCAUCAUGCCCCUUAUGAUUUGGGCUACACACGUGCUACAAUGGACA
rnacentral:rRNA from 1 species